rnacentral:rRNA from 1 species
UACAGAGGUCUCAAGCGUUGUUCGGAUUCAUUGGGCGUAAAGGGUGUGUAGGUGGCGCGCUAAGUCGGGUGUGAAAUUUCGGAGCUUAACUCCGAAACUGCAUUCGAUACAGGCGUGCUUGAGGACUGGAGAGGAGACUGGAAUUCAUGGUGUAGCAGUGAAAUGCGUAGAGAUCAUGAGGAAGACCAGUGGCGAAGGCGGGUCUCUGGACAGUUCCUGACACUGAGACACGAAGGCCAGGGGAGCAAACGGG